AGUGAACGCUGGCGGUAGGCCUAACACAUGCAAGUCGAACGGCAGCACAGUAAGAGCUUGCUCUUACGGGUGGCGGGUGGCGGACGGGUGAGGAAUACAUCGGAAUCUACUUUUUCGUGGGGGAUAACGUAGGGAAACUUACGCUACUACCGCAUACGACCUACGGGUGAAAGCAGGGGAUCUUCGGACCUUGCGCGAUUGAAUGAGCCGAUGUCGGAUUAGCUAGUUGGCGGGGUAAGGGCCCACCAAGGCGACGAUCCGUAGCUGGUCUGAGAGGAUGAUCAGCCACACUGGAACUGAGACACGGUCCAGACUCCUACGGGAGGCAGCAGUGGGGAAUAUUGGACAAUGGGCGCAAGCCUGAUCCAGCCAUACCGCGUGAGUGAAGAAGGCCUUCGGGUUGUAAAGCCCUUUUGUUGGGAAAGAAAAGCAGCAGGUUAAUACCCCGCUGUUCUGACGGUACCCAAAGAAUAAGCACCGGCUAACUUCGUG
rnacentral:rRNA from 1 species